CGUAGGUGGCAAGCGUUGUCCGGAUUUACUGGGCGUAAAGCGCGCGCAGGCGGACUGAUCAGUCUGGGGUGAAAUCUCACGGCUCAACUGUGAGCGGUCCCUGGAUACUGUCAGUCUUGAGGGAUCUAGAGGAGAGCGGAAUUCCCGGUGUAGUGGUGGAAUGCGUAGAUAUCGGGAAGAACACCAGUGGCGAAAGCGGCUCUCUGGGGAUUACCUGACGCUGAGGCGCGAAAGCGUGGGGAGCGAACCGGAUUAGAUACCCGGGUAGUCCACGCCGUAAACGAUGAGUACUAGCUGUCGGGGGUAUCGACCCCUCCGGUAGCGCAGCUAACGCGAUAAGUACUCCGCCUGGGGACUACGACCGCAAGGUUA
rnacentral:rRNA from 1 species